GCCACAUACGCUUCACAUCUCUAUCUGUGUGCCACGUGUGAGUCUCAGCGACAGAGGUUUGAUGAUGCCGGAUAAUGUACGGCGACCACCUGCCGCACGCAUCAUCUUUCGAUUGGGACAAGGAAUCGCCAGCGGGAGGCUGCUUGACAUCCGACCAGUGAUCGCCUGUCACUUCGUCGUCGUCGACGGCGGCAGAUAGUUCUCUGGAACCCAAGUCCUUCUACGACUUCUAGCAGUUUGCAACAGGUAGCAGACUCCACAGGAGCGGUGGCGGCCAGUACCCCGCCCGCACCGACGAGUUCCGACGGGAAACGUAGCACCCAGCAGUCCGUCGAUCGCUGCCCAUCAGUGCGGCAUCUACGGCCUUCACGGAGCUGACACAGGGCGCCUCACCAGACAUUUUCCAUUUACAAACUGCAUUGCUGACUUCGAAAAAAGAAACAGAACAGUCAUAGGGAAUCAACAAGCUUACUUUGUUGACACUUGGUGGUUUCCGGUUCGCUAUUCUAGUAUAACUCCAAAUAGACUGAAAUACAAUGGCCCUUGUCAUUUCCUUUAUAACAUCACCAGAAGCUACUGCUUAUGAAAGCUUGUCAACUUAGUGUGACAAUUAAGAUGGGCCCGGAUCCGGGAUAUCCUGAAUCUCGAAAUCCCCGGAAUCCUGGCUGUUGUUCACGUGUCGAAAUCCCGGGAUUUCGGGGUUUGCGCAUAAUACUGGAAACCUAUUGUUUGUUUAGAAAAGUAUUGUUCGCGACACAGAACGCCGUAACAAUUAGGAGUUAUUUAACUUCUAGCGCGCAUUAUGAAUGACAAUUCUUUGUCCUUAGCUGCCUCUCAAGCACUUUAAGCAGUCGUACACGCUUCUCUUUCCAUUUCUUGUGGGGUGCCGGUAAGCAGGCUGCAAUUGUUGAGCCUGUGGCUCACGAGCCGCUCCGUAGCUUUAUUAGUUUGAGGGGUAUCGGCGGCGCCGAACGCCCUUUAUAUAGGGGCGCGCGUGUUAAUAACAGCACAAAGAAGAAAAAGAAAAAAUAGAAGCAAGCGUUUUAUUCACAUCCUAUUGCUUAGCAAGUUUUGACUUCCGUUUCUGUGUCUUUGUUGCGUUCUUUACCAUGCUUCAUACUAACCAACAUGCCCUGCGUCUGCUUGCGUUCAGUGAUUGUGGGGGCUUUUUGUUGCUGUUUUUAUUUGUUUUAUCUUAUUUUCCUUGCCAAGGGGGAGCGAAGCCCCGUCUAGGCACGGCAGCGAACAAUGUUCCAAUAAUAAUAAUAAUAAUAAUAAUAAUAAGGUACAAAUCAAUACACAGGAAUAAAAAAAAUAUUAAAAAAUCAGCACAUGGUGCGAGAAGGAAUGCAAAUACAAGAUGGUAAGAGUACCGAUAGGUUGCCUCGUAACAGUCGAUGUAGUUUGUGCACUGACGUGCUGGUGUCAAUAAGGUUUUGGUGCUCGUUAAACAAUAUUGGAAAUAAAAAGUUUUGAAAGUCGAAUCUUUGUUUCGUAUUCAGUGACAGUAUGAAGUAAAUCUGCAGGCGUCAUGCGUGAAAACUGCGAAUAAAAACGAGCAUUUUAUUUCAGGAGAACAUAAAACAGGUCUUAUCAGUUUUUGGAUUAAAUGUGUCGCAUAUUAAAAACGAAUGUUUCGAUUAACAAGCAGUGACAGAAUGCCGAGGAGACGCGCACAAAACGCACACAGUAAUCAUUCGUGUUACAACACAAAGCCUGUGUAUGCAUGCUGUUUCGG